rfam:Trichinella sp. T6 scaffold163s, whole genome shotgun sequence.
UUCAGUUACGGUGACAUGGUGCCAGAGACGAUGAUCGGUAAAGUAGUUGGAGGUGUUUGCUCCCUCAGCGGUGUAUUAGUCAUAGCUCUACCAGUUCCGGUGAUAGUAUCGAAC